AAUAGAUUUCCACACUACUAAACACUUCAUAUGUAUUCUCUCAUCCAAUCCUCAUAAAGCAACUCAGAAUGCAUAAUACCAUUUCCAUUUUUCAAGAUGAGAAAACUGAGACCAGAGAAGUUAGAAAAGAUGCCCAAAUCUGCUAUGCCACAGAUUUAGGAUGGACACCCACAGUCAUAUGAUGCCAAAGCCCACAGACUGCUGAGUAAGCAGUGUAGGCCGUUGUCAGCUUAAUUAUCCACCAACAUUCUCUCCAACACAGCUUCAUGGAAUUUAUGAUCUCAACACUAUCAGCCAACUUCUCAUCCCUGAGACCUCUCCCCAGAUCCCGUGGCAAAAUGCUCAGGACACCCAAUGGGAUGAGGCUCUUACUUUCAGAAAAGAGAAAAGGCUUUGAAGUUAGACCUGGACUGGACAGUUUCAUUUCAAGGUGGGCAGAACAGGUAAAAGUCAUACGUAUCAUUCAGGCUUACAUAGAUAUAUUUGAUGGUGUGAACCCAGGGAUCAAUGGAAUUGUCAAGUACAGGUAAGCACUCUUGUAUUCACAAGAGAUAGUCCUGCUGGUUUUCCUCCAACUUCUGUAGCCACAGCUUCUCUAUUUCGCUUCUCUCCUGUUUCUCUAUGUCCCUUCUUUGCGCUUCCCUGUUUCUGUACAUAGGAUAAAGACCAUAUUUCCUUGGUAUUUACAGAUCUGGCAUAUAGGUCAUUAGUUGAAACCUAAUAGGCAUACUGACUAUUUGUUGAAUUAAUUAAUUAACCUUAGUAGUGACACUGAUAGGAAAAGAAGCUCCCUAACGCAGUCUGGAAUGAGAAAAACAAGUGCCACCACUAUUAGUACCAAUGUGUAGCUUUGUGUAUCAGGUACCAAAUCAACUAUUGUGGUGAGUUAUGAGGUACUGAGGAAGAAGAACUUUGACUCCUUUUACUGAGACAUUGCACAUGGUAACUGUCACAGUGAAUCAAAGUUGCUUUUCCCAGAUCUUGGUCAUUCAUGUAUCAUCUUCAGGAUUUUUAACAUAUCCAAAUACCACCUGAAGAAUCAUUUGAUUAAUAUUUCCAUUGAAACCAUAUAAACUUCAAAUUUAAAUACAGUUUAAAAGAAGCCCCAC
rnacentral:lncRNA from 10 species